GGAUCAGAAACUCAUAUUAUUCUGGUGGUAUCUUCGCUUGUGACAAAGAAGUUCAAGAUCACGUUUCCACUAUUCAGAACCUUAAAACUCAAAGUAGCCAUAUGUGUGGAGUGUCGACAUUGAAAGCUG